AGGGAAUCUUCCACAAUGGACGCAAGUCUGAUGGAGCAACGCCGCGUGAGUGAAGAAGGUUUUCGGAUCGUAAAGCUCUGUUGUUGGUGAAGAAGGAUAGAGGCAGUAACUGGUCUUUAUUUGACGGUAAUCAACCAGAAAGUCACGGCUAACUACGUGCCAGCAGCCGCGGUAAUACGUAGGUGGCAAGCGUUGUCCGGAUUUAUUGGGCGUAAAGCGAGCGCAGGCGGAAUGAUAAGUCUGAUGUGAAAGCCCACGGCUCAACCGUGGAACUGCAUCGGAAACUGUCAUUCUUGAGUGCAGAAGAGGAGAGUGGAACUCCAUGUGUAGCGGUGGAAUGCGUAGAUAUAUGGAAGAACACCAGUGGCGAAGGCGGCUCUCUGGUCUGCAACUGACGCUGAGGCUCGAAAGCAUGGGUAGCGAACAGGAUUAGAUACCCUGGUAGUCCAUGCCGUAAACGAUGAGCGCUAGGUGUUGGGGCUUCUGCCGUCUGNGCG
rnacentral:rRNA from 1 species